GUGGGGAAUCUUCCGCAAUGGACGAAAGUCUGACGGAGCGACGCCGCGUGAGUGAAGAAGGCCUUCGGGUCGUAAAGCUCUGUCAUCAGGGACGAACGGCCGGUGGAGUGGAAAGCCACCGGAUUGACGGUACCUGAGAAGGAAGCCACGGCUAACUACGUGCCAGCAGCCGCGGUAAUACGUAGGUGGCAAGCGUUGUCCGGAAUUAUUGGGCGUAAAGCGCGCGCAGGUGGGAUCUUAAGUCCAUUUUGAAAGUUCGGAGCUCAACUCCGUGAUGGGAUGGAAACUGGGAUUCUUGAGUACCGGAGAGGAAAGCGGAAUUCCCCGUGUAGCAGUGAAAUGCGUAGAUAUGGGGAGGAACACCAGUGGCGAAGGCGGCUUUCUGGACGGUGUCUGACACUGAGGCGCGAAAGCCAGGGGAGCGAACGGGAUUAGAAACCCUGGUAGUCC
rnacentral:rRNA from 1 species